UACGGAGGGUGCGAGCGUUGUCCGGAAUCACUGGGCGUAAAGGGCGCGUAGGCGGCGCAACAAGUCACUUGUGAAAUCUCCGGGCUUAACCCGGAGCGGUCAAGUGAUACUGUCGUGCUAGAGUGCGGAAGGGGCUACUGGAAUUCUCGGUGUAGCGGUGAAAUGCGUAGAUAUCGAGAGGAACACCUGCGGCGAAGGCGGGUAGCUGGGCCGACACUGACGCUGAUGCGCGAAAGCCAGGGGAGCGAACGGG
rnacentral:rRNA from 1 species